GGAAAUUUCAGCAAAACAUGUUGAUCUCUAAAGCAACAAGUGAGAAGGACUCCUGUUACCAGAACAGAGGAAUUUAGGACUUUGACAAGCACCAACACACCCCUCGCAAGGAUGCAUGGCAAGACAACAUAUUCUCACAAGGAGGUAAAGCUAUAAAACUCCUGUUAGGACUCUGCUCUUUGAUCACAGGAAAUUAAACACUUGGGAUAUCUGGCCAGAGUUGUGCACACCUUCAAAGAAAACACAGCAAGAGGUCUAAUUGCCCAAUCAUGGCUGUUAUUGACUCCCUACCUAUGGUCUGUCUGUAGGGGUUGUGUGCACUUGAAGGGCGUGACACUGCACUUCCACCUUGUUUCUGCUGUAACUCUCUUGCCCAGAAAAUACAGAACAGCCUGAGUCGGAAGGGAACCAUAAGGAUCUUUAAGUCUAAAAUGGAUGAGAGCACAGCAUCCUGAGAAGCAAUGGCUGUCAUAUACUGUGCUGUCCAGCUCACAGAAACAAGUUGCAGAGCCACGUCGUAGAGUCAGAAGGAAACUCUCUAAAAAAACACUUCGUCGUGCUUCCCAGUAUGUAUUCAACAUUCUCCCUUCAGAAGCAGUGUGUUAUCACCUUGCUGCUGGUUCAGCUGAUGCUGUUACUUUCAUUCCCAGAGCUGAUACAGAACAUUUGCAACAUAGCAAAUUGAGCCCAAGACUGAUUUCUUAUUUAAGGUUCAGAGUCUUGAACCCAGAUGCCUGAGCAUCAGUAGAGGGAAAGAAAGCCCAAAUGCAUGGAAUGGGGAGCACCUGGCAGCCAAUGCACAGCAAUCACACUCAAGAAAUCAGAGCAGAUAAGAAGGGUCUGCUCAGGGUUACCUCCCUCAGCAGCUCUGCAGGCAGUGGGGCAUGUCAUACUCAGCCCGUGAGCUUUGCAGGGUGCAGCAUCUCUUCUGAGCUGCUCCUGGAGCACUGCUCCUGCAGGGCCUGCUUUGCUGCCAGGAAGAGGCACCUCACAGUGUGGAUGCAGUGAUAGGCAGAGAGGAGCUUCUGCACAGUAAAAGUGCCCCUCGUCAGCGGGCUCUUAGUUUCAUCAAGGAAAGUCCCUUCCUUGCAGAAGUGCUGAAUAUUCAGGUGUCUUCAGGGACCUUGGGAUCACCUUGCCAUCAGGAGGUUAUGCUCUGCUGUGGUUUAAUGCCCUGGUCUGGCUGCUCGCUGCAGACCUACUCUGCGCUGGUUUCUACUGAGACACUGAAGAAAACAGACUGCCCCUCUUGCUGAUGCUGCACAACGUUUGAGGACUUGCGGUCACUGAGGAUGUGAGUGUAACAAACCAGAGGACAGCUGCAGAGAUUUGUGUUUUCUUCCCUUGCCAGGAAAAGGUGCCUGGAGUGCAAAAACACCUAAGGCCUUCCUGGAGAAAGCUCUAUGGAGUAGAAGCACUGUAGAUGAGUGAUAUUUCUUCAACCAUCUGCUCCUUCCGCACUCACACGAGGGCAGGCCAGCUCCAUGUGAGUGCAGUGAUAGGUGAGCCUCGCUGGAAGCUGCAGGAAGUUUUUAAUUUUCUCUUCUUGUUCCUUGGUGUCAGACAAUGAUCUUCACAUCAGCACACCAAAGGAAAUAAUUUAAACAUAAUUAACUUGAGCUAACGCUGAAACUCCUGGGAGCAGCGUGGUGUUAACUGUUCAGAGAUUUUUAACUUGCUUUUUAUCAGGAAUAUGAGAAUACUGUUUGAAUUAAGACUUCUUAAUUAAACGUGACCUGGGUGACACUGUGUUCUUAAUUAAACGUGACCUAGGUGACCGUUCAGUUAUUAACACUGUGUUCGCUUACACUGUGGCUCUGAUACGCUCUUAAAGAGGGAACUCCUCAACCAUCAUUUCACCGGGGGCCGACACAGCAACUUGUGUUUAUAAAUGCUGUGCAACUUUUCUGUCCCUUCCUUCCUUCCAUCCUUCCUUUCUUUCUUGCCAGACCUGUGCAGAAACCUCUUUAGGAAACGCUGUUUUUCCUCCUGUAAGACCAGUGGAAGGAGGAACUUAAGUCCCAGGAAGGAAAGGAGCAAAGCUGGGCUGCACACCUGGCAUUUCUCUGCUGUGCUGGUUAAUUCAGCCUGGACUUUCAAGCAAUUCCAUGGUGGGGCAUAAGGUCUGUAGAGUCUGUUGGCAGAAAAAUGCCUGACUAUCUAGUGUUGAACCAACCAACGCCUUCUGAGGAAGCCACCUAAUGCUCUGUCCAAGACAUCAGUGUGCAUUCACAGACCAAAAAAAGGAGAUGUGAGGGACAGAUGAUACGUUACCAGAAUUAGCCAUUGCCACACCGAGUACGCAUCAGACGCAAGACUUGCCUCAGUUCAACAACCUGAAAUUCAAGUUCCCUAUUCCAGGCUCACAUGCCUUCUAAUGAUAGCGUGUUCGUGUCUCCUUCAGCUUUGGGCAUGACCUUUCUGAGCUGGCUGCUUCUGUUUCUCACCUGUACAUUGAGCCAAAAAACAGCCGCCUCUGAAUUUUAGGAGGGGGUGUAAGGGACAGAGCAGAUGAAAGAUUUUCUGUAUUCAGUGAUAUGACCCUGAAUGAAUGCAGUUGAGCAAGCUGGCCAACUCAGAUGAGCACUAUUUUGUACUGCUCAUGUUUACCAGCGUACUGUGCCUGGGUCCAAGAGCAAGCCUACAACGCUGCUAUGGUGAAGCUGGCCAGCCUACUUUAACCUACUCAGACACGCCAUCUAAACAAAACACUCCCUCUCCAAAAACUUCGUGCUCCUCUCUGCCCUCUUGCAAGCCCUCUUGCUGCAAUCCUUUCCUGUGCUGCCUCUGGGGUGCAAUGGCUCUUGCUCCAAAUCGUUACUUCUAUGUGGAAGAUGGCCAAGCUGAAGUGGUGGGGCAGGCUGUGCCACCUGCUGCAGAGAGCUCCCCAGCUGUGGUGUGUUAGAUCCUGCUGUUGAAAUGCUCCUGGGCAGGCUGCUCUGAAAACACCUGGGGGGUUACCAGCUGAGACCAAAGAGGCAGAAUGGGCUGGAGGAAUGCAGUUCUGACACAGAACCCGGAGCAAGGGCCAUCUAUAUGAGAAUCUUAUCCUUCAAGCUGUAAUCAGGUAUGUUUGAGAAGGAGCUGUGAUGCCCAGGUAACAAGCCAAGAGCUGCUGCUUUCCUCCUGCAAAUGGAGAUGGUCAUUGUUACGUAUUUGAAGUAGCGUAUGUUCAUGUACAGGCACAGUGUUGUUGGCAGAUAAUUAUCAGUCUGCAUAAAUAAGAAGUUAAAUGGAACAAGGAGAGCACGAUGCAAAUUGUCAUUAAAUCUGUUCCCCAGCUCUGUAAUGGAGGUUGUGUGGGUACGCUGAGUGACGAUUGUAGGCUGCUAGCUACAUUGCUCUGCAGAGUGAUUUGGGGUCACAAUGAAAUCACACUGAAUUGUUUAAGUUGGGCCCAGAGAAUAACACACGCAGCCAUUCAAA
ensembl:lncRNA